rnacentral:lncRNA from 1 species
UCUUUUCAUCUAUAUUCUUCUUAACUUGUUCGGAGCAAGCCUUGUUGUGAUCAGAAUCUGUUUCUGGUUUUUAUUUCAAUCUUUUUUUUUUAUGACGUAGAAUCGGUAUUAUCAUGCAGGCUGUUGAAGAACGAUCGUUGACUGUUCAAAGGAUUUCGGAAGACAAUCUCGUUUCAGGUACUCCAAGUGCCCUACAACCCUGAUGCUUAUACGGUGUUGUUGUGGUGGCUAGCUACAGUGGAUCUUCUACAAUUGUGCAGUUCUGGGAUGAGUCACGGUGUGCUCAUAAUUCGUAUUUUUUGAAACUCUCAAUCAACUUCAUCAAACCCGAGACCGGACAAAGCAUCAAGACAGACGGAUAAGAAAUUUGUGAAGAAUCAGGAUUCCAAGAAAGUACCUGUGGGUCCUAAAGGCCAGCCAUCAAAAAGGAACAACAGAAAAGGAGAAAACCCUAUGCGAAUCCCACAAAUCACAGAGCCAUGUUCUGGUUCUAGACUACCAACUAUAUCGAUCUGCAGGAACACUGCAUGUAAAGCUGUGGUUUAUGAUGUUGGCGGUGGAGUCGCUGUUUAAUUUGCACCUGUUGUAGCAGAUGAAGUUUUUGCCACAAUAUCUACUGGAACUGUGAUUGGUAAAGGUGUCAAGAGUCUCUUACCUUGCUGUACAGUUUUUGGAGGAGUCUCCUAAGCAGAAACGCACAACUGAUCACAACUGUUGU